GUGGAUGAGAUGCAACUUACGUAAUGAGAAUGGAGGCGUUUCAGGCAAUGUGACAGAGACAUGUGCAGAUGAAGAAGGAUUUUCAGCCCCUCUGCGGGAAACUGGAAUUGGCAAAUGGUUACUCAGUAAGUGAAGAGAACUGACUUCAUCAUCCUCAGCAAAGUUUCCAGUGCUACAAGAAUUCAAGCCUUACAGCUCUGCUCCUACAAUUGUCAGAGGCCUCUUGGGGAUGGCAAGUACAAAGGAGACUGAAGAAAGACAUAUUCCAGUCACCCCCAAGUUCAUUUCCACUUCAGGCUGAGGUCCUGCUGGCCAAGGGGAAGCUCUGUCUCUUUCAAUUUGGUUUGAAUUGAGACCAUCCAUCCUGGCCUUCUGCUUAGCUGCCCUGAAAGGCAGGCAGUUGAUGAAUGGAGCGUACUACAAAAGAAAGCCGGCGGGCACACAUGGGUCUGGUGCCGCUUCUGUCAGGGCGGCUCAAAGGGAAGGCUGCACCACAUGGAUAUCUUUCUGGUUCAGAAAGGGUUAAAUCACUGGUUUUGGCCUUAAUCCAACUCAGAACCUCAACAAAAUGAGAACGUGCGUACAAAGAAAGCGGUGGAUAUGUGCCGGAUGCAUUAGAUCGCAGGCCUAAAGAACAUCUGCCUCCUCUUCCUACCACCUUCCCCACUGUCCUGCGGUGGUGAGAACCCAUGGAGUGGAGCCUCUAGCCCUUUGGUGUGGAGACAAAGACAGUGAAUGAAAUUCCAGGGACUUGAGUUCUGCUUCCAGUUCUGCUGCCAUUGCAAGAAGUCAGGCCCUGGCUCCCUUCCUUCAAUUGCCAACUUCAGAGAGAAGCUUACACAAUUGGAAAAGGAGGUUGGAGAUUCAUCUCCUCUUAACUGUAAAGGUGGCAAAUCUCUCUCAACUCUUUGGUUAGAAAAUACAGGGCUUUUGACUCACCUUGGUACCUUGAUCCAGCUUCCUCCAGCACAGUCCCUCAGUCAAUGCUCGGGUCAUGGAAAUACUUCACAUAGAUGCGACAGCACACACAUCUUUUAUGAGCUCUGGUGACUUGGGCUGUACCUUGAAAUUGCAAAAGUGAAGCCACAUCAGAAGAUGGUCCAAGUGUCUGCAAUCUUGAGAUGAAUCAUAACGGGUGUUUGAAGUAAGAGCUGGGAGUACUACUUCUGCUCUUGUGUUUUCCAUGCAGCCAGAGUGAGUGAAGAGAGAACAGAUGGGCGGGGGAGUCAGAGAAGAAGUGUGGACAUGCAAGCUUGGUGUCAUGGGAACUUCCAUCCAAGAAUGGGGUGCAUUAUCAUCGUGGUUCCACAUAAGUUUGUGCCGCAAGACACUGAGACUCACCGGCCUUCUUUGUCCAAUAGUCAGCAAAAUCCUUGUGUAGUCUGGAUCCAAUUCUCUCCAACGCUACCUGCUCAAGGUCCCCGCCCAGAAGUGUUUUUGUGUUCGAUACUAUGGAGUAAAAGCUAAAAAGAUACAGUUCCUGCCUUUCCAGUUUAACGAAUUUUUGUGGACAUUUCAUCUGUGACAGCCAUUUCAUGCUACUUUUACUAAAGCUUGGGAGGCAGCUGGGGCCAGUUCUCAACAUCUUUGAGAAGAGAAUUUUGCUUCUCUGAAAUUUUAGAGCAAGUUUUUAAUGGCUUUGGCUCCUGUGUGCUCCUCGCUGCCUGUAUGUGACGCGUGUUGUGUUGCUUCCACGUUUUGUCAGUGUCUGGAAGUCUCCGAAGAGUUGGCAAUGUCUCUCUCUAGCCCCAGGGACUCACUUUUGUUUCUUCAUUGAUUGAGUUUGUUCUCUCUCUUUCGACUCUUUUCUUUUCUUCUCUCACUUAAAAAAAAAAUAGCAAAAGGCAUUUUAAAUGAGUGAGGCAAUGAGAUGCCAGAGUUGUGACUUCCAUACCGUGGUGAGUAAUGAUAGGAUUAAAAAACGUUCCAUAUGCUUCAUUCAGGUAGCUGUCCAGGGACCUCGCCAGCAAUAGAAAGCGAUAGAAAGCAGGAUAUCACAGUGGAGCACAACACAGAGCCGUGUUCACAGAGUCCCGUUACACCUCUUUCUUCCCUUCCCAUCCAGCUCCCCUGGGGCUGGAGG
rnacentral:lncRNA from 13 species